GCCGCUUUCGCUUCUCCUUCAUCGUCAUCUUGUUGCGGAGAUGCAACAGCUUCGUACCUCGACAAACUAUCUAAAAGCGUCGAAAUCCUUGGUCGUUUGUGAAGCUCAUCCUGUGCGCACAAGGAGAUAAAAGAUCAGAAAAGCCAGUGGAUAGAGCUGAAGUCAUUAACGAAACACUGACAAUUAACAGCGUGACAAUGAGGAACAUACAUCCGUAGGGCAAAGAAUAUUCUGAAAUUAGCAGCAGCAGUGGUAAUAUUUAGCAGCAGACACAGUUCAGCUCUUUUCUUGGUCUGCGGUUUAAAGCUCCACCCCGCUAAAUGUCUCUGGAUAGAUGUGUAAAAUGAAAAACAAACCUUGUGAUGUUGUCUUGAUUUCUCUCGCAUGUAAUAAAUGAAGCAACGAUUAGGACGGUAAGUAAAGCAAAUGAACAGAAAUUUAAAAAAUUAAUGAACGCAAAGAAGAAACUUUUUUUAGUGACAUGAAGAAUAGAAAUAAAGGGCUUAAAA